GGGAAAUAAGGAUAUGGGCAUUAGCGGGUGGAGAAGGCAUUUUGCUUCAGAGUGAUGAUGAGUCAUGGCGCUGUACACAGACAUUGGAGCUGAAGAGUUCAGCUGAGGCUAAUGUCGAAGAGGCAUUUUUUAACCAAGUUGUAGCCUUGUCUCAAGCAGGUCUGCUCCUACUAGCUAAUGCAAAAAAGAAUGCUAUAUAUGCUGUGCAUCUAGAGUAUGGCCCGAAUCCGAAGGCUACCCGGAUGGAUUACAUAGCAGGAUUUACAGUCACCAUGCCAAUUUUGAGCUUCACUGGGACGAGUGGCCUAUUGCCCCAUGGUGAACAGAUUGUGCAGGUGUAUUGUGUACAGACACAGGCCAUUCAGCAGUAUGCCUUGGACCUGUCCCAAUGCUUACCACCUCCAACAGAGAGUGUGGUUUUCGAAAGGACAGAAUCUGGCGUUUCGCGCGAUUCUGCAAACAUUGAAGGAUUUGCUCCUGUUGACCCCCCAGGAAGUAAACAGCAGGAGUUUCCUUUAUCUAGUUCAGCUCCUAAAUCAGCAGUACAUGACAUUGGCUCUGAGAUUUCACAAACAGCUAGAUAUCCUACAAGUGCUGCACCUACUGAAUCGACCACCUCUCAAGAAUUUGCUUCCUCCAUUCCAGAAACUAAAUCGUCUAUUUUGCCCAGUGUAACUAGUGAUAAUGAUAUUGCCUCCAGUGCAUCGCCUCCUCCUUUGAGUCCUAAAUUGUCUCGAAACUUAUCUGGUUUUAGAGGUCCGUCGAACAGCUUUGGGGCAGACACCUUUGAUAAUGACCAAGUUGGAAAUCAAAAAGUUGUUGAUUAUCCAGUAGAUCCACAAAAGGAUGGCACGCCCCCAAUCUUGUCAGAUAUUGCUUCCUUGGAUGAUGAACAUAAAACAUCAGGGGAUGAUGUUCCCUCUGGUAUCAGUCAUCUUGUAAAGUUCAAGCACCCAACUCAUUUGGUGACUCCUUCAGAGAUAUUGAUGGCUAGAUCAUCCUCUGAGGUUAGCAUUGUUAAUGAGCAGAAAAGUGAGUCAGAAAUGAAUGUUCUGGAUGCUGUAACUAACAAUGACACCCGCACUGUAGAGAUGGAGGUUAAAGUUGGUGGUGAAGCAAAAUUUAGUCAAAAAACUGAUAUGGGCUCUCAAGACCUUCAUUCUUUUGUGUCUGAAAAUAAAGAGAAGGUUUUUUGCUCUCAAGUAUCUGAUCUUGGAUUAGAAAUGGCUAGAGAAUGUCGCACCUUAUCUCCCGAGACCUAUACUGUAGAGGAAUCUAGGCAGUUUGAUGGG
rnacentral:misc_RNA from 1 species